UUAUGGUGAAGCCGCGAAUGGCUCAUUACAACAGCCGUUGUUUCUUGGAUCUUGUUUUACUUGGAUAACUGUGGUAAUUCUAGAGCUAAUACAUGCAAGCAAGCUCUGACCUUCCGGGAGGAGCGCAUUUAUUAGACCAAGACCAAUUAGGCUUCGGCCUACCAGUCUGGUGACUCUGAAUAACUUUGCUGAUCACACGGUCUUUGCACCGGUGACAUAUCUUUCAAGUGUCUGCCCUAUCAACUGUCGAUGGUAGUUUAUGUGCCUACCAUGGUCGUAACGGGUAACGGAGAAUAAGGGUUCGACUCCGGAGAGGGAGCCUGAGAAAUGGCUACCACAUCCAAGGAAGGCAGCAGGCGCGCAAAUUACCCACUCUCAGCUCGAGGAGGUAGUGACGAAAAAUAACGAGACGGUUCUCUUUGAGGCCCGUCAUCGGAAUGGGUACAAUCUAAACCCUUUAACGAGGAUCUAUUGGAGGGCAAGUCUGGUGCCAGCAGCCGCGGUAAUUCCAGCUCCAAUAGCAUAUACCAAUUCUGCUGCUGUUAAAAAGCUCGUAGUUGGAUCUUUCCCAUCGGGCUCGGUCUGUCUAAUGGACUAGUACCGAGGCUCGAGGGUUCAGCCUUGCUGGUUUGCUCAUGGUGCUCUUCAUUGAGUGCCUUGGGUGGCUAGCACGUUUACUUUGAAAAAAUUAGAGUGCUCAAAACAGGCGUUACAGCCCGAAUAGUGGUGCAUGGAAUAAUGGAAUAGGACCUCGGUUCUAUUUUGUUGGUUUUAGGAGCGUGAGGUAAUGAUUAAGAGGGACAGACGGGGGCAUUCGUAUUGCGGCGUUAGAGGUGAAAUUCUUGGAUCGCCGCAAGACGAACAACUGCGAAAGCAUUGCCAAGAAUG
rnacentral:rRNA from 1 species